GUUAUUAUUACCUGAGACCCUGAAAGGAAGCACUAAAGAAAUGAAGACAGAGGAAUACCAGGAGAGAAAGGAGGUCCAGUUAGACCUAAAGGUGGGCAAGAAGAAGAAGAAGAGGAGUUUGGAUGCUUCAUCUCUGCUGAGACCCAGUGCCUGGCACUGAAGGUGCUCAGGAAAUACCUUCUGAAUGAUCGGAAGCCCCUGCCAUCUGCUAAACUGGAUCUAUGAUGACAGAAGCCGAGGAAUGUGAGGUUCAUCUAGAGAGUUCUUGUGAAUUUUCCAAGGGAGGCACCUGUUGAAUUCAGGCAUCGGCAUGUGACUUGAUUUGGUCAAUGAAAUGUGAGAGAAGUGACAUCCACUUUGAGGCAGGCACUUUCCGAGUUGCCCCGACGGCCACUCUCCAUACUGCUGCCAGAAGAACCUUGAAAUAUCGCUCUUUUUAAUUAAAAAGCAAAACUCUUCAA
rnacentral:lncRNA from 1 species